UACGUAGGGACCAAGCGUUGUUCGGAUUUACUGGGCGUAAAGGGCGCGUAGGCGGCGUGGUAAGUCACUUGUGAAAUCUCCGAGCUUAACUCGGAACGGUCAAGUGAUACUGCUGUGCUAGAGUGCAGAAGGGGCAAUCGGAAUUCUUGGUGUAGCGGUGAAAUGCGUAGAUAUCAAGAGGAACACCUGAGGCGAAGGCGGGUUGCUAGGCUGACACUGACGCUGAUGCGCGAAAGCCAGGGGAGCAAACGGG
rnacentral:rRNA from 1 species